GGCAGGGAACACCUUGAGGAACGAGUCUUCAAAGUCCUUCUUGUGUUACUUUUCUGUCCCUUUUUCCUGGCCACAGAUCCACCAGAACCUUUCCUCUCCAGAAAAAGCCAUGGGAAAGAAAGAAGUUGAGAAUCAUGGACCAAGCCCAACCAGUGCUCAGGAAUGCAGGAGGUGAGGAAGGAGAAGAGGGAUGGGAAUGCAGCACUGCUCUAAUGGCUCCAGGGUCAGCACAAGCUCUACUGCACUUCUGGAAUGGGAAGAGGGAUCCUGCAGAAUGGGUCAGAUUGGAGGGAAUACAGUGGGUCACUGGUGCCACCUCCCUGCUUCAGCAGGGCCAGCACAGGGCACAGGAUUAUGUCCACACAGCUCUGGAGUAUCCCCAGAGAGGAGACUCCACAGCCUCUCUGGUCUCUACUCAGGGUUGGGCACUGCACCGAGAAGUUCUGCCUCCUGUGCAGGGGAAGCUCCUGGGCUCAGGCCCUGCCCGUGGCUCUGGUGCCAUGGCUGUGCCUGGAGCACAGUUUGGGCCCUGCUCUGUCCUCCUGCACACAGGGACAGCCAGGCCUGAGGGCCCCUCUCAGCUGUGUCUCAACUCAAGGCUGAACAGCCCCAGCUGCCUCAGCCUCUCCUCAUCAGGGAGGUGCUCCAAGCCCUUAUUCAGCUCCACAGCCUCUGCUGACUCCGCUCCAGGAGCUCCCUGUCCCUGCUGUGCUAAGGAGCCCAAGAGCUGGACACAGCACUCCAGAGGUACCUUCCAGGACUGGGCAGAGAGGCAGGAUCACUGCCUGACCUGCUGGGAAUGCUCUUCCUGAUUGUCCCCAGGAUCCAAUUGACUCUUUGUACCCAGGUCACUCUGCUGGGCAGGGACACCUUGUUGUCCCCAAGUCCUUCUCCACAGAACUGUUCCAGCAGGUCCACCCCAUCCUGUGGUGGUUGUUUCUCCCCAGGUGCAGGACCUGCAUUUCCCUGUUCUCUACUUCUAGACAGUUCUUCUCUGCCCUUCAAACUGUUGAGGUCCUUAGUUCCCAAUGUUUUCCUUCCAUUUUGCUCUGGCUCAUUCCUCUCUCCACAAUCCAAUACUGAGUGCUUAAUCCAACAUUAGGCCCUGAUUCCCAGCUCUAUGGAGUCAGCACCUCUUCCUGGUGCCAGGGAAUUGCUUGCAUUGUUUGCAGAUUUGGAUGAAUGUCUGAGUGACUUCUAUGUGGAAAAAGGGAUUUUGGUGAUUACUGGAUUUCCAGGCAGGGAAUCUUCUGGAGAUAAGAGGAUGAAAUGCUGCCAAACAUCCUGGGAAAUCUAGUUUUGCACGCAGAAUACAAAAGCUCAACAUUUGUAAGGACUAUGAACAGCAUUUCCACGGAAGGAUAUGAGGUGGUGGCAACUGGAACCUUCUCUCUGGAAAAGCAUGGAAGAGGAUGACACCUGGAAGACAAUGCCAGUUGAGGGAAUCUCCUGCAUUUCCCACUGCUAAUCCCCAGUUUAAAAUUGCUAUUUAGAGCAGAGGGAACCAUUAAUUUCCAGCACUCCUGAAUGGACUUUCAAAUCCAGGAUUUUGACAACUGAACCUUCAAAAACCUGGGAUUGGGUCAAUUCACUGAGAGCCUCUCCCUGAGCAGAAUUCCUGCUAUAAAAAUGUUCACUUUUCCUGGUCUGUUAUUACUAUUCCUGCUCUUGAACUUCUCUGGAAAAGCAGUUUUCCACCUAGGAAGGUGUCUUAGGUUAAAAGAUGUGGCUGGGGGUGUGUAUUCUAUCACCAUCUGUUAGAGAUGGGGCAGUUAUCUUCUGUUCAUUGGGCAGUUUUCUUUAUCUUUUCUA
rnacentral:lncRNA from 1 species